GGGCCCGCACAAGCGGUGGAGCAUGUGGUUUAAUUCGAUGAUACGCGAGGAACCUUACCAGGGCUUAAAUGUAGUCUGACAGGGGUGGAAACACCCCCUCCUUCGGGCAGAUUACAAGGUGCUGCAUGGUUGUCGUCAGCUCGUGCCGUGAGGUGUCAGGUUAAGUCCUAUAACGAGCGCAACCCCCUGCCGUUAGUUGCCAGCAUGUAAUGAUGGGAACUCUAACGGGACUGCCGGUGCAAACCGCGAGGAAGGUGGGAUGACGUCAAAUCAUCACGGCCCUUACGUCCUGGGCUACACACGUGCUACAAUGGCCGGUACAGAGGCAGCCACACCGCAAGGUGGAGCGAAUCCUUAAAACCGUGGCUC
rnacentral:rRNA from 1 species